rnacentral:lncRNA from 1 species
GGAAGGGCCUCACACCUGUGGGGCCUAAAUGGCUCUAGCUGCUCAGGUGAGGCCCAAAAGAGACUAGUAGGAGAAGCCUGCCCUUCUAGGAAAGUGCCUUCACCUCUCGCAGAGCGCGCGGGCACAGGAGCUGCGCUGCCCACCUGUAGCCACAGCAAACAAACUUUCCGCCCCUUUUGGGUGGGAAGCAUCGGAUCCCCUACGCCACCCUCUGGCUCGAGCCGGCAGCGCCCAAAGCAAGGCGGGCUCCUCACCUGAUACCCCUAAACCACAACCUGAUCUGCACCAGAGCUGCUGAGGCUUGCGAGGUGGAGGGACUUAGCUGGAAGCUGCAAUUAGGAAUUUGGAAGAAAGGGGCUUGGAAAUCCGCGCCCUGCUCCUUUGCAAUUCCAAUUCUCAACUUUGCCAGCCGCGCCCUCCGCAGCGCGCCCUCAAGCCCCUCGGCCUCCCCAACGCCGUCCCAGGGAGAGGGGCGCCCCGAGAUCAGCGGGAGCCCGAACACUCACAGCCGUAGCGGGGCCGUUGCAACGACGGCAGCUCUUCGUGCGGCAUCCUGCGCUGCUCCGGGGGCCCUCCCGGGGCGCGCCCCCCGUGGUUUCCCUCGCUGGCCAGGCUCGCGGGCUCCGCGCCCCGCGGGCGCGCUCCGAUCCCACCUCUGGGCUGCCCUCGCCCGGCUUCUCGGAGCUGGCCGCUCCGCUCCCUCGGUGCUCCUUCGCUCGCGCCUGCGGCGGCCGCGUCUCGCUGACACCGGGGCAAAAGUGAACUCUCUCCUCCCUCGCUCGCUCGCCCGCCCGCCCGCGGGCCGCACCGCCUCCCCCAGCAGGUUUCCUUUCUCCUCCCGCCCGGCUCCGUUAUUCACCGCGGUGGGAGCGCGCCGCCGUGCAGCGACCCCUACUGGCCGCACAGCGCAGCGCCCGGUUGCGAGGACCCGCCUCCCGCGAGAGGAAGGGGCAGAGAGGCACCCUGAACCCCUGCAGCUGGAGCCCAGCGCACAGAUGGAGGGCGACUUGGAGCAUCCGGAGGGUGGAAGUGAACCAGCGCAGGGAAGAGCAAGAAAAACCACAGCAGACCACAGGCACCCAGUUCGCCUGAGUGUUGCUCAGUGACUGAGAGACAAACAUUGCAGUUCC